rnacentral:rRNA from 1 species
UAGUACACUUGAAUUUAAUUAAUGGGUACUAGAAUAUUAGAAGUUAUGUUCUUUAAAUUUAAAAAAUUUGGCGGUGUUUUAGUCUAGUUAGAGGAACCUGUUUUAUAAACGAUACAACACGCAUUAUCUUACUUGCUUUGGUGAUUCAGCUUGUAUACCGUCAUUAUGAGAUAAUUUAGGAGAAAAUAUUGUUAUAAUCAUAUUAUUGAAUAUAUUAGAUCAAGGUGCAGCUUAUGGGUAAGUAAAUAUGGGUUACAAUAAAAUUUAUUUAAUAUGAAUUAGGUAUUAAAAUAUAUUUAUGAAGGAGGAUUUAAUUGUAAGGAGAAAAAUAGCAAGAUUUUCUGAUAAAAGCUCUAAAUUAUGUACAUAU